CCCCCUAACUCCCAACUCCCCAGCACGGGAGGCACACCCCGCCCCUCCUCGCGCUAACGUCCGCCUCCGCCCACGCCGCCCGGUGGGUCCUCUUUCUAGCCGGGGCAGCGGCGCGCGGAAACCCCUUUGCACUACAUUCACUCCUUCCCUGACUCCCCACGCGCUCAGCCCUUCCCCGAGCCUCGGCCCGUGGCCCCACAGUCUCAUUAAUAAGUCUUUCAAAGAUUUUUCACUUCUGCUUCAUCUGUACUUCAACUCCAUUGCUUCAGCUACAUUUUCAUCUAAGGUAGAACCAGAACCGAAUUUGAGGAAAUGUUGACAGAAGCUUUUCUGAAUUUAAGGUACCUCCUCUGCAAAAUAGGAAUAAUAAGACCACAUAGCUCAUAGUAAUGUUGACAGAAUUAAACAAAAAUUUAUA